rnacentral:lncRNA from 1 species
AUGGCUUUAAUACAUUCCGGUCCCCUUGUCUUACUUUCAGUAGGUGAACGCUGUGUAUUAAUGUUGCUCACUAAGAUGUACUAUAGCUUUUCUUCAGGGAAAACUCAGAAAUUGAGUUGCAAAUCGGAGCAAUGCAAAGUGAUCCCCGCAGGUGCCGGCUGCGGAUCCAGGGGAGCGAGGAGGGGCUCUGCAGGGAGCCGAGCAUCACACGGCAUCUCUGCCACUGUGCUUCACCAACACAUGUUUGCCACUUCGCUGUGCUUUUGCAGGAGAAACCGGUAAUGGAAGAGAACAAAUUCAGCCACAUCGAGUCAGAGUAG